rnacentral:rRNA from 1 species
UACGUAGGGGGCAAGCGUUAUCCGGAUUUACUGGGUGUAAAGGGAGUGUAGGUGGCAUAACAAGUCAGAAGUGAAAGCCCGGGGCUCAACCCCGGGACUGCUUUUGAAACUGUUAAGCUUGAGUGUUGGAGAGGCAGGCGGAAUUCCGUGUGUAGCGGUGAAAUGCGUAGAUAUACGGAGGAACACCAGUGGCGAAGGCGACUUACUGGACUGUAACUGACGUUGAGGCACGAAAGUGUGGGGAGCAA